rnacentral:misc_RNA from 1 species
GGAAGGAUCAUUACAGAGUUCAUGCCCCUCGGGGUAGAUCUCCACCCUUGCAUACCUUACCUUUGUUGCUUUGGCGGUCCGACUCACCUCGGUGAGGCCACUGGCUCCGGCCCGUGCGUGACCGUCGAAGGUUUUCAACUCUACAAUUUAUGUCGUCUGAGUAUUAUACAAUAGUUAAAAACUUUCAACAACGGAUCUCUUGGUUCUGGCAUCGAUGAAGAACGCAGCGAAAUGCGAUAAGUAAUGUGAAUUGCAGAAUUCAGUGAAUCAUCGAAUCUUUGAACGCACAUUGCGCCCCCUGGCAUUCCGGGGGGCAUGCCUGUUCGAGCGUCAUUAACACCACUCAAGCUCAGCUUGGUAUUGGGUCACGCCAGCAAUGGCGAACCUCAAACUCAGUGGCGGCACCGCUGGGUCCCGAGCGUAGUAAAUAUCUCGCUGAGGGUUCCCGCGGUUGGCGACCAUCAACCCAAUUUUUCAAGGUUGACCUCGGAUCAGGUAGGAAUACCCGCUGAACUUAAGCAUAUCAAUAAGCGGAGGAAAAGAAACCAACAGGGAUUGCCUCAGUAACGGCGAGUGAAGCGGCAACAGCUCAAAUUUGAAAUCUGGCUCUUUCAGGGUCCGAGUUGUAAUUUGUAGAAGAUGCUUCGGGUGUGGUGCCGGUCUAAGUUCCUUGGAACAGGACGUCAUAGAGGGUGAGAAUCCCGUACGUGACCGUGCGCCUAUGCUCAUGUGAAGCUCUUUCAACGAGUCGAGUUGUUUGGGAAUGCAGCUCAAAAUGGGUGGUAUAUUUCAUCUAAAGCUAAAUAUUGGCCAGAGACCGAUAGCGCACAAGUAGAGUGAUCGAAAGAUGAAAAGCACUUUGGAAAGAGAGUUAAACAGUACGUGAAAUUGUUGAAAGGGAAGCGCUUGCAACCAGACUUGCACGCGGUUGAUCAUCCGGGGUUCUCCCCGGUGCACUCGAUCGUGUUCAGGCCAGCAUCAGUUCUGGUGGUUGGAUACAGGCCUUGGGAAUGUGGCUCCUCUCGGGGAGUGUUAUAGCCCUUGGUGUCAUGCAGCCAACUGGGACUGAGGACCGCGCUUCGGCUAGGAUGCUGGCGUAAUGGUUGUAAGCGACCCGUCUUGAAACACGGACCAAGGAGUCUAAUAUCUAUGCGAGUAUUUGGGUGUCAAACCCAUCUGCGCAAUGAAAGUGAACGGAGGUGAGAACCCGCAAGGGCGCAUCAUCGACCGAUCCUGAUGUCUUCGGAUGGAUUUGAGUAAGAGCAUAGCUAUUGGGACCCGAAAGAGAGUGAACUUUACGUGAAUAGGGUGAAGUCAGAGGAAACUCUGAUGGAGGCUCGCAGCGGUUCUGACGUGCAAAUCGAUCGUCAAAUUUGCGUAAAGGGGCGAAAGACUAAUCGAACUUUCUAGUAGCUGGUUCCUGC